AGGUUAAUUUAUUUGAUUAAGAUUGAUUCUGUCUUUUUGAAUUGGCUUUUAGAUAAUAUUAAAUAUAAGUUUUUGCGUGUUAUUUAUUUAUCUAAAGGAUAAAUUUGUUUAUUUGUAGUUUUUUAUUUUGAGUAUUAUAUGAUUAUAGACUCAGUUAAUUUAUUUUAGAAUUGUUUAAGGUUGUGCCAGCAUACGCGGUUACACAUCCAAUUCAGGUUAAUUUUUUUGGUUUUUAUUUAUUUUUAAUUUUGAAA
rnacentral:rRNA from 1 species